rnacentral:rRNA from 1 species
UGGGGAAUAUUGCACAAUGGGCGCAAGCCUGAUGCAGCCAUGCCGCGUGUAUGAAGAAGGCCUUCGGGUUGUAAAGUACUUUCAGUCGGGAGGAAGGUGGUAAGGUUAAUAACCUUAUCAAUUGACGUUACCGACAGAAGAAGCACCGGCUAACUCCGUGCCAGCAGCCGCGGUAAUACGGAGGGUGCAAGCGUUAAUCGGAAUUACUGGGCGUAAAGCGCACGCAGGCGGUUGAUUGAGUCAGAUGUGAAAUCCCCGGGCUUAACCCGGGCAUUGCAUCUGAUACUGGUCAGCUAGAGUCGUGUAGAGGGGGGUAGAAUUCCGUGUGUAGCGGUGAAAUGCGUAGAGAUGUGGAGGAAAACCGGUGGCGAAGGCGGCCCCCUGGACAAAGACUGACGCACAGGUGCGAAAGCGUGGGGAGCAAACAGG